AUACGGAGGAUGCAAGCGUUAUCCGGAUUUAUUGGGUUUAAAGGGAGCGUAGGUGGGAUAUUAAGUCAGCUGUGAAAGUUUGGGGCUCAACCUUAAAAUUGCAGUUGAUACUGGUUUCCUUGAGUACGGUACAGGUGGGCGGAAUUCGUGGUGUAGCGGUGAAAUGCUUAGAUAUCACGAAGAACUCCGAUCGCGAAGGCAGCUCACCGGGCCGGAACUGACACUGAUGCUCGAAAGUGCGGGUAUCAAACAGGAUUAGAUACCCUGGUAGUCCGCACAGUAAACGAUGAAUACUCGCUGUUUGCGAUACACUGUAAGCGGCCAAGCGAAAGCGUUAAGUAUUCCACCUGGGGAGUACGCCGGCAACGGUGAAACUUAAAUGAAUUGGCGGGG
rnacentral:rRNA from 1 species